GGUGGUGGUGGUGGUGGUGUGGGGGUGGGGGGGUGCUUCUUUUUGUCCAAAUCUGAUCCCCAAAUUAUUCCGGGGGCUCAGAUUGGUGUGAAAGGGACGGGAAGGUCACUUGAAAUCGCCUUUUAUCCGCUGGCUUUUUUUUUUAUGGAUCAGCAACUUUCAAUAGACAUAAUCUAAUCGCUCUUAAUGGAAAGGCCAUUCGUGAGAAAUAGUGGAAAUAUCGUUGAGCCUAUAGGCUACAGCCAUUUAAGACCAAGCAUAACAGGCAACAAGAGUUCACAAAAUAACAUUAAUUAUUAGGCUACUGGAAACUGGAAAGUUCCUCCCCAAAACAGGGAAAGUUUACUUAUCAGUUUGAAACCGACAAAUGCAGACAGCAAUAUAUAUUCAGGGUAGAUUUAACUUUUUGUGUACUGUAAUUCAUCAUAAUAUUGCGUAUGCUUAUUAUUUAUUAUUUUUUUCUCCAAAAUGACUGAGCUUAAUUGUAACAUUGCAUACUCUCCAGUCAUCCUAGUUUGAAUGUAGAUAUUAUUGUUUAUUUCCUCAUUAUUUUUAAUAUGGCCUCGCGUCUCCAGAGAUUUGAGAUCCCUCGGUUUAAGAAGGGAUGAAUGAAAGUCGCUUUCCAGAGUUUUUGCAUCCCAGAAUAUAAUUGGGAAAGUCACUGCCGUUUUUGUUCUCAAUUAGGUUUGAGGUUGGAGUUAAGUUGGAGGGACUGCCAGUUUAAGCUAUGGGCAAUAGCUUUAUUGCUCACUAACCAUCAUUUCUUCAGAGCCUAUGUGCUAAUUACUUUGGAUGGUCCCAGAGACAGAGAUUAUAAAUCCAUUAGCACCCAAACCUUCGUGGUUCCACAGUGCAAACACUGUAAUUUCGUAGUACACCAAAAACCAAAACUUUAAGCACCAGAAGCAAUGAAGGGAAACAGAUUUUCAACAACGUGUGUAGUCUACUUCUUAAGGUAGCCUAGCGUAUAUCAAUCAGCAGCAAAGGGAAACACACAGAGUAAACUAAGCAUAACAGAAAAUUAACUGACAGGGAAAAAUGUCUUAUCAGGCCGGUGGUUAAGUUUAAAAACGUUUAUAUUAGGCUACUAUGUCAACUUAUUGCAGUAUUGUAAUCAUAAAUGAUCAAAACAACACCGUUUUUAUAGCUAUUGUGAGUUCUAUUUUUAUGCAAGUUUGAGAAAUCAUUUAUUCUUAUUCCCUGAAUGCCCGUGAAGUAUCCAGGGAGCGAUGCAGCCUUAAGGAAAAAACUGAAUUAAAAUAAGACUUAAUACCUGUUUGACUGCAUUUAAAGAAGGCAAUGAAAAAACCGGGACCCAAACGGGGGUGCGCGAAGGCAUCUCACUCUUAAAGUAAUUUAUUUCAGGGAAACCGGAGGGCAAAGGUGGAAUUCUUGAGAAAUUCAACAAGGAUAAGGGAGCUUUAGGAAUUCUGCACGCAGAUUACCUUUCAUCCCAUCCUCACAUUAUCCGACAACACACAGUAGAAAUAUAGCUCAGCGACAAAAGAGCGAGAUUACCCUCCGACACAGAGGAGUGCAAAACAAUUUUUAAGAAGUAUUGCGAUUAUUAGGGGAGCGAACAAGGAGAGCGAGAGAGAGAGAGAGAGAGAGAGAGAGAGAGAGAGAGAGAGAGAAGAAGGGGGGUCAACAUGGUGGAGGAGUGAUGUGUGCUUUCAAAGAGCAAAAAAAAUGACAAAGCUCACGGAUCAUUAAGUGUCCUGUCACUGGUGUUGUGGAUUGUGGAUCCAUCUAUAAGUUUACCUACCUUUAUAUGCUGGCCUAAAUAAAUAUAUAUAUAUAUAUAUAUAUAUAUAUAUAGUGUGUAAAUUUAAAUCAAACACAUAUUAAUCUGAGCAAAGAUGAAGGAGGAUGUGAUUGUUUAUUGAGACAUAUAAACAAAUUACUUAUCUUUCUCUUAAGUACUUAACUAUAAUAGAUUGUUGUUUAGACUGCUGGCUAUGAUGCCUUGCAAUGAUUGCUGACACUGGGUCAGAGUUUGACCCCCUUUGUGGUUGAACUUGUUUAACUUUUGUUUUGUAACUAAAUGAGUGGCAUCACAUCAGUACUGCAUCCCCCCCCCCCCCCCCCCCCCCCCUUCCCCAAAACCAACACACAGCAGGGUCUUAAUUAGAAAUGUAGUGUAGCUGAACCAUCAGUAUGCUGGAGAUGAAAAUGACUGAGCACACUAGUUCAGUACAGAGAGAACAGAAAAUUAUUUCCCCACAAACUCUCAGAGGCAGUUUGAGUGAAAAACAUUAAUUUGUUUAUGUUUGGCAACCUUGAAAAUAUUUUGCGCCACAAAAUGCAUACAUAUAGGGACAUGAAGCAGUAAUCAAAAUUCUACUUUCAUUUCUACCCUCAGAAAUAACUGUGAAAUAUAAUUUAUUAUAAUGCUAAAAUAUAGCACUGAUUAACCAACACAGCAAUUGGGUAAAAUAUCAUUUUUUUAAAUGUCAUACAUUUCUAAGUGAAAGCACAGUCAAAAAAAAUCUUUAAAGCAAAAGACACCCCUCUCUCACACCCCCACAUACGCACAAAACCCCUCUUGAGAUUUUCUGUAUUUUCAUUUGAAAGGUGUGUGUCUGGUGUUUGCAUGUGUGGGCACAUGUGUGUAAAAAGACAGUGAAGAGAAGGUGGCCUGUGUUUAGUGUCCAGACCUGGCAGAUUGUGACCUUAUCAAUGUGAAACUCUUAAGAUAAAUUAUUCAUAGCACCUGUUUGAUGUCUCCGGCCAAAGAAUGACAAAGGUGUAAGAUUUAAGAUGCAUCUCAAAGCCAUGAAUAUCAGCUACCUGUCUCUUUUUCAGGGCAGAAAAAAAGCGAAAUAGGCUGCCCUUUCCUUAAACAAGAAAAAUGAACAAUUUGUUUCCUAACAGAGGGUGCAGAAGAGAGCAACCAGGGAACAUUGACAGUAGAGAGCGACAUGGCGGCCGGGCGUUCGGAAACUCAGUAGGACGUGUCUGUGUGGUGAGAGGACUGACGCUGGGAUGAGAUGAAAUUUAUGGCGAGUGCUGUUUGAUUAUAGGACAGUGACGGUAAUACCACUCCUUAGUAUGAGUGUUGGGAUCACUUGAUAUGACAGCCCUGCACUGACAAGCUUAUUGUACUUAACCAUGCAUGUGGUAAAUAUAACAUUAACGGCAAAUUAAUAGUCACUCCCAGAAUAGAUUUAAAGAGGCUGCACUCUGAAUUUUAUUGCUCAGUUCACAUUUUGUCUUUUCACUAAGUACAUUACUGGAGUGUUUAUCAAGUACUAUUCCAAGCUUUUCUACUCAGAAAUGAAUCCAAGCAUCCGGGAGCCCAAAUUCUUUCUCAAUGGUUUGUUUUGGAAAAAAACACAGUAUGCUUUUUGGGAAACUGGCAGCUGAUCUUCUUCAUAGCUAGAGGUCAACAUAACAUUCAGUAUUAAUAAAACAAAUAAGACUAGGAUGGAUAUUAAUGGUGAUAUAUACAGACGUACUGCGCAUGAGCUUAAAUUAUGUGUGAACGUGCUGAAGGACAGCAAAGGAGAGAUACUCUCACACAUGUUUGUGUGUUUACUUGUCUGAGUGUAUGUGUGUGUGUGCGUGUAAUAGCCAAGUCGGUUUCCCUCAGAUGUUCCUUUGACCUUUGACCCCACAGUUGGGGUCAAGCCCUGACAAAUGAGAUGGUCGAGUUCUGGCCAGAACUGCAAACAUUCCACACCAAUCUUAUGUCCUCCUCCUCCCCUCCCCUCAUAUCCGUCAUUCCUCACCCCUUCACUCCUCUCAGUAUGUCUCUUCCACGACUUGGAGAGAGUCAGAGUCAUUACAAACAAACAUGUUUUAUUGUAUUUGCUGUGGGAAUCUUACAGCACACACCCUUCAAAUUAAAGAAUUACAACAUUGGUUAAAUUUAAUGUCCCCGACAUCUGCCUUGUUCACAGAAGGAAAGAAAACAAAAGAGUGUGAUCUUAGAGGAGAAGCUGUGUCAAAGAUUUGGCUAUUACAAGCCAGCACUUUGAAAGCACACUGUGUGCGUUUGGAAAGCUUGUCAGUGAUGUCAAGGAUGAGAAAUGUUGCAGUGUGGUUUUUUACACACGCUGCUGGCUCUAGCAUUUCCGGCAACAUUUCUCACUCUGCCUCCCUCACACCAUCCACUCUGCUGCAAUAUCCCCACAUUUUUCCAUCCUUUCACUCCUUCCCCUACCCUCCCUGUCCAUGUUCACCUUCUCUCUGCUCUCUGACCACUCUUGCUCCCUUUACCCUUCCUCUCUGCUGCACCAUCCUGCCCAAUCUCAGCCUCUCCCUCCCUUCUCUCUCCACCCAGCACAUUCGCCCCCUCCCUCCCUUUUUCCUCCACUCACUAUUUUCUUCUGAUUUUCUAACAUGCCGUUCCACAGAAUGCUACCACCUGUGUCUUUAAGGGGAAAAGGGGGGGUAUUGGUAUUCCUCUUCGGAAAGCUGGUUAAGGUAAGUGGCACCCUCUAUUACAAUGACACGCCAAAUAAUGCUUCUGCUUGUUGUGUUACUGUAGUCACUUUUUUUCAUGGAAUGACCCCGGCUUCCUAAGCAUCACCACCUUCCAUCAGAGCUCUGGCUACAAGUCACUGCUGUAAAAACACACACAGUCACCUCCGAUGAAUGUCAGCAGAGCAGCCACGGUGCCACAAAAGGAGCCUGGAGACCAACAAAGCCGGCUGAUACAGUAACACAGAGUGGAUCACACUCUUGAACUUGCUUUCAUAAUGAUGUAAUACUACUAAAAGGCAAUGCAACACAGAAAAGAUCUUAAUAAAAACACAUCAAUCCCAA